UACGUAGGGUGCGAGCGUUGUCCGGAAUUAUUGGGCGUAAAGAGCUCGUAGGCGGUCUGUCGCGUCGAUCGUGAAAACUUGGGGCUUAACCCUGAGCUUGCGGUCGAUACGGGCAUGACUGGAGUUCGGCAGGGGAGACUGGAAUUCCUGGUGUAGCGGUGAAAUGCGCAGAUAUCAGGAGGAACACCAACGGCGAAGGCAGCUCGCUGGGACGGUACUGACGCUGAGGCGCGAAAGCGUGGGGAGCAAACAGG
rnacentral:rRNA from 1 species